rnacentral:rRNA from 1 species
UACGUAGGUGGCAAGCGUUGUCCGGAAUUAUUGGGCGUAAAGCGCGCGCAGGCGGUUCCUUAAGUCUGAUGUGAAAGCCCGCGGCUCAACCGCGGAAGGGCAUUGGAAACUGGGGGACUUGAGUGCAGUAGAGGAGAGUGGAAUUCCACGUGUAGCGGUGAAAUGCGUAGAGAUGUGGAAGAACACCAGUGGCGAAGGCGGCUCUCUGGACUGUAACUGACGCUGAGGCGCGAAAGCGUGGGGAGCAAACAGG